GGGUUGUGAGGUUAAGCGACUAAGCGUACACGGUGGAUGCCCUGGCAGUCAGAGGCGAUGAAGGACGUGCUAAUCUGCGAAAAGCGCCGGUAAGGUGAUAUGAACCGUUAUAACCGGCGAUGUCCGAAUGGGGAAACCCAGUGUGACUCGUCACACUAUCAUUAACUGAAUCCAUAGGUUAAUGAGGCGAACCGGGGGAACUGAAACAUCUAAGUACCCCGAGGAAAAGAAAUCAACCGAGAUUCCCCCAGUAGCGGCGAGCGAACGGGGAGCAGCCCAGAGCCUGAAUCAGCUUGUGUGUUAGUGGAAGCGUCUGGAAAGUCGCGCGAUACAGGGUGACAGCCCCGUACACAAAAGCACACAGGCUGUGAGCUCGAUGAGUAGGGCGGGACACGUGGUAUCCUGUCUGAAUAUGGGGGGACCAUCCUCCAAGGCUAAAUACUCCUGACUGACCGAUAGUGAACCAGUACCGUGAGGGAAAGGCGAAAAGAACCCCGGCGAGGGGAGUGAAAAAGAACCUGAAACCGUGUACGUACAAGCAGUGGGAGCACCUUCGGGUGUGACUGCGUACCUUUUGUAUAAUGGGUCAGCGACUUAUAUUCUGUAGCAAGGUUAACCGAAUAGGGGAGCCGAAGGGAAACCGAGUCUUAACUGGGCGUUAAGUUGCAGGGUAUAGACCCGAAACCCGGUGAUCUAGCCAUGGGCAGGUUGAAGGUUGGGUAACACUAACUGGAGGACCGAACCGACUAAUGUUGAAAAAUUAGCGGAUGACUUGUGGCUGGGGGUGAAAGGCCAAUCAAACCGGGAGAUAGCUGGUUCUCCCCGAAAGCUAUUUAGGUAGCGCCUCGUGAAUUCAUCUCCGGGGGUAGAGCACUGUUUCGGCUAGGGGGCCAUCCCGGCUUACCAACCCGAUGCAAACUACGAAUACCGGAGAAUGUUAUCACGGGAGACACACGGCGGGUGCUAACGUCCGUCGUGAAGAGGGAAACAACCCAGACCGCCAGCUAAGGUCCCAAAGUCAUGGUUAAGUGGGAAACGAUGUGGGAAGGCCCAGACAGCCAGGAUGUUGGCUUAGAAGCAGCCAUCAUUUAAAGAAAGCGUAAUAGCUCACUGGUCGAGUCGGCCUGCGCGGAAGAUGUAACGGGGCUAAACCAUGCACCGAAGCUGCGGCAGCGACACUAUGUGUUGUUGGGUAGGGGAGCGUUCUGUAAGCCUGCGAAGGUGUGCUGUGAGGCAUGCUGGAGGUAUCAGAAGUGCGAAUGCUGACAUAAGUAACGAUAAAGCGGGUGAAAAGCCCGCUCGCCGGAAGACCAAGGGUUCCUGUCCAACGUUAAUCGGGGCAGGGUGAGUCGACCCCUAAGGCGAGGCCGAAAGGCGUAGUCGAUGGGAAACAGGUUAAUAUUCCUGUACUUGGUGUUACUGCGAAGGGGGGACGGAGAAGGCUAUGUUAGCCGGGCGACGGUUGUCCCGGUUUAAGCGUGAAGGUGUGUGCUCCAGGCAAAUCCGGAGCACUUUAACACUGAGGCGUGAUGACGAGGCACUACGGUGCUGAAGUAACAAAUGCCCUGCUUCCAGGAAAAGCCUCUAAGCUCCAGGUAACACGAAAUCGUACCCCAAACCGACACAGGUGGUCAGGUAGAGAAUACCAAGGCGCUUGAGAGAACUCGGGUGAAGGAACUAGGCAAAAUGGUGCCGUAACUUCGGGAGAAGGCACGCUGAUAUGUAGGUGAAGUCCCUUGCGGAUGGAGCUGAAAUCAGUCGAAGAUACCAGCUGGCUGCAACUGUUUAUUAAAAACACAGCACUGUGCAAACACGAAAGUGGACGUAUACGGUGUGACGCCUGCCCGGUGCCGGAAGGUUAAUUGAUGGGGUCAUCCGUAAGGAGAAGCUCUUGAUCGAAGCCCCGGUAAACGGCGGCCGUAACUAUAACGGUCCUAAGGUAGCGAAAUUCCUUGUCGGGUAAGUUCCGACCUGCACGAAUGGCGUAAUGAUGGCCAGGCUGUCUCCACCCGAGACUCAGUGAAAUUGAACUCGCUGUGAAGAUGCAGUGUACCCGCGGCAAGACGGAAAGACCCCGUGAACCUUUACUAUAGCUUGACACUGAACACUGGUCCUUGAUGUGUAGGAUAGGUGGGAGGCUUUGAAGCGUGGACGCCAGUCUGCGUGGAGCCGCCCUUGAAAUACCACCCUUUAAUGGCUGGUGUUCUAACGUGGACCCGUAAUCCGGGUUGCGGACAGUGUCUGGUGGGUAGUUUGACUGGGGCGGUCUCCUCCUAAAGCGUAACGGAGGAGCACGAAGGUCAGCUAAUCCUGGUCGGACAUCAGGAGGUUAGUGCAAUGGCAUAAGCUGGCUUGACUGCGAGCGUGACGGCGCGAGCAGGUGCGAAAGCAGGUCAUAGUGAUCCGGUGGUUCUGAAUGGAAGGGCCAUCGCUCAACGGAUAAAAGGUACUCCGGGGAUAACAGGCUGAUACCGCCCAAGAGUUCAUAUCGACGGCGGUGUUUGGCACCUCGAUGUCGGCUCAUCACAUCCUGGGGCUGAAGUAGGUCCCAAGGGUAUGGCUGUUCGCCAUUUAAAGUGGUACGCGAGCUGGGUUUAGAACGUCGUGAGACAGUUCGGUCCCUAUCUGCCGUGGGCGCUGGAGAAUUGAGGGGGGCUGCUCCUAGUACGAGAGGACCGGAGUGGACGCAUCACUGGUGUUCGGGUUGUCAUGCCAAUGGCACUGCCCGGUAGCUAAAUGCGGAAGAGAUAAGUGCUGAAAGCAUCUAAGCACGAAACUUGCCCCGAGAUGAGUUCUCCCUGAGACUUUAAGUCUCCUGAAGGAACGUUGAAGACGACGACGUUGAUAGGCCGGGUGUGUAAGCGCAGCGAUGCGUUGAGCUAACCGGUACUAAUGAACCGUGAGGCUUAACCUUACAACGCCGAAG
rnacentral:rRNA from 1 species